rnacentral:misc_RNA from 1 species
GAAACAAUAUCAUCAGAAUUUCUACAACUUCAUCAGUAUAAACUUUGUUCAGCAGCAGUUUUAUCCUUAUAGAAAUGAAAAUACUCUUUCUUAUCUGUAUUACUUGUGCUGCAAUAAACUACGUACAUUUGGAGGAAUUAUGUAAUAUUCCAGAUGGAUUGUUAAAAUAUUUGUGUACCAUUCAUAAUGAAGAGGAGAAUAUAGCUCCAAGAGUUAGAGAGAAGAGAGAAGGAGGUUAUAUAAGAUUUGGAAGAUCGCCUAUUGAUUGGAAACUUAGGCAAAAAAGAGAUAUAAAUGAAGAGAAGAGCUUACCCCGAAACCAGGAAUCCAUGAACCAAAGAGAACAACAACAUAUAGAGGAGAAUAAACAAUUAGAUCCAGAAUUAGAAAGUGCUAUAGAAAUACUUCGACUGUACGAAGUAUUAGGGUCCCUUAACAAAAAGAGGCUUAUUAAGUUUGGUAAGAGAUUCAUGAGGUUUGGUAAACGUGAUGAUGCUAUGUAUAUGAGAUUUGGUAAAGAUCAUGAAGGUGGUGAAACAAAGAAAACCUAUAUCAGAUUUGGCAGAAAUAAUAAAGAAAAGAAGCAAUAUAUUCGGUUCGGUAGAAGUCAAUAGUAUACAUUUCAUCGUUCAGAUUUAUUUAUGUUUAAUAUUACAGGAAGUGUUGUCAAUGAUUCAUAAAAUACUGCUAAUGAGGCAAAAAUACAAUUAUAGUUCUCUUUUGAGUAUCAGCAAGCUAUUCUUAACCUUUAACCUAAAAUUAUUAUUACUAAUAUUUAUA